CCUAAUCAUUUCCAAUGACCCGUAUGUAAAUUCCCUAACGAGGAAGUAAAUUUUCCUACCUUCUGAAGCUGGAAGUACAAAUUGAUUUUGCUGUUCACACAGUACGGGAUAUUCCGUUCGUUAAAAAGCGAAAUUGUACCUAAAGUAGUAGUCUGGAGACGUGUUUUCACAAAUUGAGGUGCUUUAAACUUGACAAUUGACACGCCAUUUCAAAACGCGGCUCUUCAUUUCACGACGCAUGCUCAAGAGACGCCGAACUGCAACAGCGAAGCCAAACAGGGAUACAUGAGACAUUUUGGCAAUGCUGGAGGACUCAAAGAAGCGCAAGGCUGCUGUGCAGAAGGGGACACUCGCCGAGCGGUGCCAAUUCUGAAAACCGAUCGUAGUUUUGACAUGAUGCUGAACUGCUCUCCUGCGGC
rnacentral:lncRNA from 1 species